rnacentral:rRNA from 1 species
GCUUACGGCCAUACCACCGUUAGGCACGCCCGAUCUCGUCUGAUCUCGGAAGCUAAGCAGGGUCGGGCCUGGUUAGUACUUGGAUGGGUGACCGCCUGGGAAUACCAGGUGCUGUAAGCA